rnacentral:tRNA from 1 species
GGAGCGGUAGUUCAGUUGGUUAGAAUACCUGCCUGUCACGCAGGGGGUCACGGGUUCGAGCCCCGUCCGUUCCGCCA